UACGUAGGGGGCAAGCGUUGUCCGGAAUCACUGGGCGUAAAGCGCGCGCAGGCGGUCAUUUACGUCUGGGGUGAAAGCCCGGAGCUCAACUCCGGGAUUGCCUUGGAUACGGGAUGACUUGAGGAUCGGAGAGGCAAGGGGAAUUCCACGUGUAGCGGUGAAAUGCGUAGAUAUCAGGAAGAACACCCGUGGCUAAGGCGGCUCUCUAGUACGGUACUGACGCUGAGACGCGAAAGCGUGGGGAGCGAACAGG
rnacentral:rRNA from 1 species